rnacentral:lncRNA from 1 species
GAAAUAUUAAGGAGAAAGUCUCUAAAACAUGACCGCUGCUCUGGAAAGACAUAUUGGGUUUGUAAAGCCCUUCAGUGCAAACCCUUUUCUCAACUAUCAGUGGAUGCACAACGGACAGUGCCUUUCACAUGCCCAUGAAGCUGCUGAAGGAUGUGGAGACACCUGCAGAAGCCAAAGGGGUCACCACCACUUUGGGAAGCAGGAACAAAGAGAGCAGCAGAAAACAGCAGUCUGGUGCAUUGGAGAGGUGGCUGACUCUGCUCAGACACAGACACACAGCUCUCUGUGAAGUAAUCAUCUUUUGCGGCCUGAUUAGGACUUACUCACUGAUGUAAUGGCUCCACAGAAACCAGCUUCCAACAGGGGUAAUAAAGUCCAAAGGACAGCAGCA